rnacentral:lncRNA from 1 species
CAGGAAGAAACUAUCGAUGACCCAUGAAAUAUAUUUUCUAUCCGUACUUUAAAUGUAAGGAGGAUGCAUCCCUAUUGCAUAUUGGACAUAUAAGAUAUCCUUUGGUGCUCCAUCCAGAUAAGUUUUCAUAUACCGAAAAAUUAUUUAUGAUCCAUAAAAUCAAAGUAUGCAACUUAAAAUUAUUUCGACUCACAGAAUCAUAUGUCUGUACUCCAUUUUUUCAUAACUCCUUUAGAUCA